rnacentral:rRNA from 1 species
UACGUAGGGGCUAGCGUUGUCCGGAAUCAUUGGGCGUAAAGAGCGUGUAGGCGGCCCGGUAAGUCCGCUGUAAAAGUCAAAGGCUCAACCUUUGAAUGUCAGUGGAUACUGCCGGGCUAGAGUCCGGAAGAGGCGAGUGGAACUCCUGGUGUAGCGGUGGAAUGCGCAGAUAUCAGGAAGAACACCAGUGGCGAAGGCGACACACUGGCCCGUUACUGACGCUGAGACGCGAAAGCGUGGGAGCAAACAGG